rnacentral:rRNA from 1 species
GGUUAAGUUAGAAAGGGCGCACGGUGAAUGCCUUGGCACUAGGAGCCGAUGAAGGACGGGACUAACACCGAUAUGCUUCGGGGAGCUGUAAGUGAGCUUUGAUCCGGAGAUUUCCGAAUGGGGAAACCCAAUGUUCGUAAUGGAACAGUAUCUUUAUCUGAAUACAUAGGAUAUUGAAGGCAGACCCGGGGAACUGAAACAUCUAAGUACCCGGAGGAAGAGAAAGCAAAUGCGAUUUCCUGAGUAGCGGCGAGCGAAACGGAAUUAGCCCAAACCAAGAGGCUUGCCUCUUGGGGUUGUAGGACACUCUAUACGGAGUUACAAAGGAACGAAGUAAAUGAAGCGACCUGGAAAGGUCCGUCGAAGAAGGUAACAACCCUGUAGUUGAAACUUCGUUCCCUCUUGAGUGGAUCCUGAGUACGGCGGAACACGUGAAAUUCCGUCGGAAGCUGGGAGGACCAUCUCCCAAGGCUAAAUACUACCUAGUGACCGAUAGUGAACCAGUACCGUGAGGGAAAGGUGAAAAGCACCCCGGAAGGGGAGUGAAAGAGAUCCUGAAACCGUGUGCCUACAAGUAGUCAGAGCCCGUUAACGGGUGAUGGCGUGCCUUUUGUAGAAUGAACCGGCGAGUUACGAUCCCAUGCAAGGUUAAGCUGAUAAGGCGGAGCCGUAGCGAAAGCGAGUCUGAAUAGGGCGUUUAGUAUGUGGUUGUAGACCCGAAACCAGGUGAUCUACCCAUGUCCAGGGUGAAGUUCAGGUAACACUGAAUGGAGGCCCGAACCCACGCACGUUGAAAAGUGCGGGGAUGAGGUGUGGGUAGCGGAGAAAUUCCAAUCGAACCUGGAGAUAGCUGGUUCUCUCCGAAAUAGCUUUAGGGCUAGCCUCAUGUUGUGAGAGUCUUGGAGGUAGAGCACUGAUUGGACUAGGGGCCCCCAACGGGUUACCGAAUUCAGUCAAACUCCGAAUGCCAAAGACUUAUCCAUGGGAGUCAGACUGCGAGUGAUAAGAUCCGUAGUCAAAAGGGAAACAGCCCAGACCACCAGCUAAGGUCCCCAAGUAUACGUUAAGUGGAAAAGGAUGUGGAGUUGCUUAGACAACCAGGAUGUUGGCUUAGAAGCAGCCACCAUUUAAAGAGUGCGUAAUAGCUCACUGGUCGAGUGACUCUGCGCCGAAAAUGUACCGGGGCUAAACGUAUCACCGAAGCUGUGGAUUGACAUCUUUGAUGUCAGUGGUAGGAGAGCGUUCUAAGUGCUGUGAAGUCAGACCGUAAGGACUGGUGGAGCGCUUAGAAGUGAGAAUGCCGGUAUGAGUAGCGAAAGACAAGUGAGAAUCUUGUCCACCGAAUGCCUAAGGUUUCCUGAGGAAGGCUCGUCCGCUCAGGGUUAGUCGGGACCUAAGCCGAGGCUGAAAAGCGUAGGCGAUGGCCAACAGGUUGAUAUUCCUGUACCACCUCCCCGCCGUUUGAGUAAUGGGGGGACGCAGUAGGAUAGGGUAAGCGCGCUGCUGGAUAUGCGCGUUCAAGCAGUUAGGCUGAUGAGUAGGCAAAUCCGCUCAUCAUAAAGGCUGAGCUGUGAUGACGAGGGAAUUAUAGUACCGAAGUUCCUGAUUCCACACUGCCAAGAAAAGCCUCUAGCGAGGCGGGAGGUGCCCGUACCGCAAACCGACACAGGUAGGCGAGGAGAGAAUCCUAAGGUGAUCGAGAGAACUCUCGUUAAGGAACUCGGCAAAAUGACCCCGUAACUUCGGGAGAAGGGGUGCUCUGGUAGGGUGUAUAGCCCGAGAGAGCCGCAGUGAAUAGGCCCAGGCGACUGUUUAGCAAAAACACAGGUCUCUGCGAAGCCGCAAGGCGAAGUAUAGGGGCUGACGCCUGCCCGGUGCUGGAAGGUUAAGAGGAGGGGUUAUCCUUUGGGAGAAGCUCUGAAUCGAAGCCCCAGUAAACGGCGGCCGUAACUAUAACGGUCCUAAGGUAGCGAAAUUCCUUGUCGGGUAAGUUCCGACCCGCACGAAAGGCGUAACGAUCUGGGCACUGUCUCAACGAGAGACUCGGUGAAAUUAUAGUACCUGUGAAGAUGCAGGUUACCCGCGACAGGACGGAAAGACCCCGUGGAGCUUUACUGUAGCCUGAUAUUGAAUUUUGGUACAGCUUGUACAGGAUAGGUAGGAGCCUGAGAAGCCGGAGCGCUAGCUUCGGUGGAGGCGUCGGUGGGAUACUACCCUGGCUGUAUUGAAAUUCUAACCCGCGGCCCUGAUCGGGCCGGGAGACAGUGUCAGGUGGGCAGUUUGACUGGGGCGGUCGCCUCCUAAAAUGUAACGGAGGCGCCCAAAGGUUCCCUCAGAAUGGUUGGAAAUCAUUCGUAGAGUGUAAAGGCACAAGGGAGCUUGACUGCGAGACCUACAAGUCGAGCAGGGACGAAAGUCGGGCUUAGUGAUCCGGUGGUUCCGCAUGGAAGGGCCAUCGCUCAACGGAUAAAAGCUACCCCGGGGAUAACAGGCUUAUCUCCCCCAAGAGUCCACAUCGACGGGGAGGUUUGGCACCUCGAUGUCGGCUCAUCGCAUCCUGGGGCUGUAGUCGGUCCCAAGGGUUGGGCUGUUCGCCCAUUAAAGCGGUACGCGAGCUGGGUUCAGAACGUCGUGAGACAGUUCGGUCCCUAUCCGUCGUGGGCGUAGGAAAUUUGAGAGGAGCUGUCCUUAGUACGAGAGGACCGGGAUGGACACACCGCUGGUGUACCAGUUGUCUUGCCAAAGGCAUCGCUGGGUAGCUAUGUGUGGACGGGAUAAGUGCUGAAAGCAUCUAAGCAUGAAGCCCCCCUCAAGAUGAGAUUUCCCAUAGCGCAAGCUAGUAAGAUCCCUGAAAGAUGAUCAGGUUGAUAGGUCAGAGGUGGAAGCGUGGCGACAUGUGUAGCUGACUGAUACUAAUCGAUCGAGGACUUAACCAA